rnacentral:rRNA from 1 species
CCACUGGAUACUUAGUAACGGCGAGUGAAGCGGUAAAAGCUCAAAUUUGAAAUCUGGUACUUUCAGUGCCCGAGUUGUAAUUUGUAGAAUUUGUCUUUGAUUAGGUCCUUGUCUAUGUUCCUUGGAACAGGACGUCAUAGAGGGUGAGAAUCCCGUUUGGCGAGGAUACCUUUUCUCUGUAAGACUUUUUCGAAGAGUCGAGUUGUUUGGGAAUGCAGCUCAAAGUGGGUGGUAAAUUCCAUCUAAAGCUAAAUAUUGGCGAGAGACCGAUAGCGAACAAGUACAGUGAUGGAAAGAUGAAAAGAACUUUGAAAAGAGAGUGAAAAAGUACGUGAAAUUGUUGAAAGGGAAGGGCAUUUGAUCAGACAUGGUGUUUUUUGCAUGCACUCGCCUCUCGUGGGCUUGGGCCUCUCAAAAAUUUCACUGGGCCAACAUCAAUUCUGGCAGUAGGAUAAAUCAUUAAGAAUGUAGCUACCUCGGUAGUGUUAUAGCUUAUUGGAAUACUGCUAGCUGGGAUUGAGGACUGCGCUUCGGCAAGGAUGUUGGCAUAAUGGUUAAAUGCCGCCCGCUGAAAACCGGCAACAAAAUACCC